GAUGAACGCUGGCGGCGUGCCUAACACAUGCAAGUCGAACGGAGUCCAGCCUUUAAGACCUUCGGGCCAAAGAGGGGAAGACUGAGUGGCGGACGGGUGAGUAACACGUGGGCAACCUGGCUCAUAUAGGGGGAUAACAGAGAGAAAUUUCUGCUAAUACCGCAUAAGCACACACUGCCGCAUGGCAGAGGGUGAAAAGAGAAUCGCUAUGAGAUGGACCCGCGUCUGAUUAGCCAGUUGGCAGGGUAAGAGCCUACCAAAGCGACGAUCAGUAGCCGAUCUGAGAGGAUGAACGGCCACAUUGGGACUGAGACACGGCCCAAACUCCUACGGGAGGCAGCAGUGGGGGAUAUUGCACAAUGGGGGGAACCCUGAUGCAGCGACGCCGCGUGAGUGAAGAAGUAUUUCGGUAUGUAAAGCUCUAUCAGCAGGGAAGAUAAUGACAGUACCUGAAGAAGAAGCCCCGGCUAACUACGUG
rnacentral:rRNA from 1 species